rnacentral:rRNA from 1 species
AGUGAACGCUGGCGGUAGGCCUAACACAUGCAAGUCGAACGGCAGCACAGUAAGAGCUCGCUCUUACGGGUGGCGAGUGGCGGACGGGUGAGGAAUACAUCGGAAUCUACUUUUUCGUGGGGGAUAACGUAGGGAAACUUACGCUAAUACCGCAUACGACCUACGGGUGAAAGCAUGGGAUCUUCGGACCUUGCGCGAUUGAAUGAGCCGAUGUCGGAUUAGCUAGUUGGCGGGGUAAAGGCCCACCAAGGCGACGAUCCGUAGCUGGUCUGAGAGGAUGAUCAGCCACACUGGAACUGAGACACGGUCCAGACUCCUACGGGAGGCAGCAGUGGGGAAUAUUGGACAAUGGGCGCAAGCCUGAUCCAGCCAUACCGCGUGGGUGAAGAAGGCCUUCGGGUUGUAAAGCCCUUUUGUUGGGAAAGAAAAGCAGCAGGUUAAUACCCCGCUGUUCUGACGGUACCCAAAGAAUAAGCACCGGCUAACUUCGUG